rnacentral:rRNA from 1 species
AGUCGCAAGACCAAAGAGGGGGACCGUUCGGGCCUCUUGCCAUCGGAUGUGCCCAGAUGGGAUUAGCUAGUAGGUGGGGUAACGGCUCACCUAGGCGACGAUCCCUAGCUGGUCUGAGAGGAUGACCAGCCACACUGGAACUGAGACACGGUCCAGACUCCUACGGGAGGCAGCAUG